AUUGAACGCUGGCGGCAUGCUUUACACAUGCAAGUCGAACGGUAACAGGCCGCAAGGUGCUGGCGAGUGGCGAACGGGUGAGUAAUGCAUCGGAACGUGCCCAGUCGUGGGGGAUAACUACUCGAUAGAGUAGCUAAUACCGCAUACGAUCUAUGGAUGAAAGCGGGGGACCGUAAGGCCUCGCGCGAUUGGAGCGGCCGAUGUUAGAUUAGGUAGUUGGUGGGGUAAAGGCUCACCAAGCCAACGAUCUGUAGCUGGUCUGAGAGGACGACCAGCCACACUGGGACUGAGACACGGCCCAGACUCCUACGGGAGGCAGCAGUGGGGAAUUUUGGACAAUGGGCGCAAGCCUGAUCCAGCAAUGCCGCGUGCAGGAAGAAGGCCUUCGGGUUGUAAACUGCUUUUGUACGGAACGAAACGGCUCUGGUUAAUACCCGGGGCUAAUGACGGUACCGUAAGAAUAAGCACCGGCUAACUACGU
rnacentral:rRNA from 1 species